AUGGACUUUUCCGGCGCGAGACACCUUUGGAGAGGGGCAGGGCGGGUGCUGAGCUGCGGUUUUCUCCCAUCGUGGCUUCGGGCAGAACUGAAUAUCGAAGUUUCUCAGAGGUCUUAUCUCUCCAUCCCUCACUUCGAUGUCUCAGAACAGGCAACAUUCUGCUAGAAACCAUUCUGUCACAGAUCUUCACCAUUUCCCCCUCUGCCUAGGAAAAGGAAAGUACAGACUCAAGCUUGAUUAAGAGUCAAAUACUUGAACAGAAGCAAAGUGUGACGAUGACCCUCUGGUUUCUGUACAUGCUCAGAGUUCUUCACUACUGCAGUUUGUAUGCAACUGUCAAGAAAACAAAAACCAGCUAAGGCAGGAGGAGGAAUCGAAGGAAAUAAGCAUAAACGAAAAGGUGUAAUCUUGAACAAACAUCUGAACCCUGUGCAAAAUUUUGCUCCCCUAGUCUAAUGCCUUCAUCUGCCUCAGCUGCAGCAAAACUUGUCUCUCUGGUAUCACUCUCUACAGCCACAGUAGCUGCGAUAACUCUCCAACAGUUUGACUUCAACCCCGAAGGUGCAAUCCUCCAUUGUUUCCUGAGACAGACAGAUGCCAACCAGUCUUUAGAAUAGAGGUGUAUGUACGUGCUUAAUGAUCAUUUGCUGCCUGCAUAUUUGCAGCAAUUGUACUUUCUGUUUUCAUGUCCAUGUAAUAAACUGAACUUUACUGCU